CAGAAAUCCAAAAUGGCGGCCGCGUGCAACUAGCAGAGAUGCUGCACUGAUGAUUGACUGUGUUGCUACUGUUAUAUCUUUUUUACAGAUCUCCUCCUUCAGUGAUGCUCCUCCUCCUCCAGUGAAACUCCUCCUUCAGUGAAGCUCCUCCCACUGCAGUUCACCAAUAAACGCUGGAAUAUUCCCCUCAGCUACAAGUGAAGACGAGCAUCAAACCAUCAGGAAGAGCUUACACAAACACAGAGUUUAUUGAAGGACAGUGAGAACAUGAGAUCCAGAACACUGCAGAAUGAAACAUACUGAAGAACAAAGAGCGGCAAAAUUCUAAUCUGAAAAAUGAAGCCUACCCGGAAGUGGGAAAAACUGCAAUCCAUCGAAAAUCCGCUAGAGGCCGGUCCCAAAAGGGGGUUCUGAGUGCCUGACAACUGUGAGCUGAUAACGGGCUGCGCC